UACGUAGGGGGCAAGCGUUGUCCGGAAUCAUUGGGCGUAAAGAGCGUGUAGGCGGCCUGAUAAGUCGGCUGUGAAAGUCAAGGGCUCAACCCUUGGAUGCCGGUGGAUACUGCAGGGCUAGAGUCCGGAAGAGGCGAGUGGAAUUCCUGGUGUAGCGGUGAAAUGCGCAGAUAUCAGGAGGAACACCGAUGGCGAAGGCAGCUCGCUGGGACGGUACUGACGCUGAGGCGCGAAAGCGUGGGGAGCAAACAGG
rnacentral:rRNA from 1 species